rnacentral:lncRNA from 1 species
CUAGCUAGAGUCCUAACAUUUUUACAUGAAUGUCCCUCUCAAUUAGGACUCUCCUAGCUAGAGUCCUAACAUUUUUACAUGAAUGUCCCUCUCAAUUAGGACUCUCCUAGCUAGAGUCCUAACACAUAGCCUUUGUCUAUGCUAGUGAGCUAAGAGAAUUGAGAUGGAUCACCGGUCAUAUGCCUUAAGCAUUCACUAUCAAGGUAACAUUUCUUGCUCGUAGCUUGUGAUUGUAAAUGUUUCUACAAUAAAGGAUGAUUUUUAGGUACCCAUUUAAUUUUGGGUGCCUCAAAAAUUGAUCUAAAUUAUUUAUCAUGUUGCAUGGAAUUUAUCAUAGUUUCUUUAGGAAACCAAAUUAAUUUGUUCAGACUUAAGUUCUAUGUCCAUAUUUGCAAUAAAAGUUGCAUUUGCCUUAAUGUGAAAAUGCAAGAUAUGGCCUUUAAUGAAGGUACUUAGAUUUUGGUGAGGACUUCUCACAAAUCCAAUUCUACUUCUUUUAGGUGUUAGGAUCGGAGCGGCACUAAGAGAGGGGGGUGAAUUAGUGCAGCGGUAAAGUACGAUAAACUUUUGACGAUUUAAAUACUUUCAGAAACUUCGUACGAUAAAAGCAGCGUUUCGUUUGAAACCGUUUCUAUUGCAUUUUAACUUGAAGGGAUACGUAAGAAGGAGACAAAGAAGUAGAGCAUCAAAGUGAAGAUGGUUUGCAGUAAUAUAAAUGACAAUAAGUUAAACGCAAACCGAUUUAUAGUGGUUUGGUCAUGCGACCUACAUCCACUUGCGAAGCCUUCUUCGAUGAGGCUCCCAACUUCCACUAGC